AUACGGAGGGAGCGAGCGUUAAUCGGAAUUACUGGGCGUAAAGCGCGCGUAGGCGGCUUUGUAAGUCGGAUGUGAAAGCCCUGGGCUUAACCUGGGAAUGGCAUUCGAUACUGCAGAGCUAGAGUAUGGUAGAGGGAAGUGGAAUUUCCGGUGUAGCGGUGAAAUGCGUAGAUAUCGGAAGGAACAUCAGUGGCGAAGGCGGCUUCCUGGAUCAAGACUGACGCUCAGGUGCGAAAGCGUGGGGAGCAAACAGGAUUAGAUACCCCUGUAGUCC
rnacentral:rRNA from 1 species